rnacentral:rRNA from 1 species
UGGGGAAUCUUGCGCAAUGGGCGAAAGCCUGACGCAGCCAUGCCGCGUGAGUGAUGAAGGCCUUAGGGUUGUAAAACUCUUUCACCGGGGACGAUAAUGACGGUACCCGGAGAAGAAGCCCCGGCUAACUUCGUGCCAGCAGCCGCGGUAAUACGAAGGGGGCUAGCGUUGCUCGGAAUUACUGGGCGUAAAGGGCGCGUAGGCGGAUCAGCAAGUUGGGGGUGAAAGCCCGGGGCUCAACCUCGGAAUUGCCUUCAAAACUGCUGAUCUAGAGUACGGGAGAGGUGUGUGGAACUCCGAGUGUAGAGGUGAAAUUCGUAGAUAUUCGGAAGAACACCAGUGGCGAAGGCGACACACUGGCCCGUUACUGACGCUGAGGCGCGAAAGCGUGGGGAGCAAACAGGAUUAGAUACCCUGGUAGUCCACGCUGUAAACGAUGAUUGCUAGUUGUCGGCAGGCAUGCCUGUCGUGACGCAGCUAACGCAUUAAGCAAU